GGUACCUUCAUGUAAUCUUGAACCUUACAUGAUUACCAACAUAGCUGAUUCCUCUUGUGAUGAUCUGGAAGUGCAAAUCAUGCAAGAGACCAAAGCUGAUGGUCCUGACGACCUUUACCACACUUACUCCACCAUCCCUGAUUAGCCUGCUGGUCCAAACUAGAUGUUCUACGAUGAUUAGCUGAAAUAUUUUUUUUCUAUCUAUUAUUGUAAAUAAGAGAACAAACUAAUUGAAAAACCUUUCCUUCUAAGAUCAUAUUUUUAAAGUGUAUAAUUUAGAGAUGACAUUUCAUCCUCCAAGCUUGCAUAUUUUUAUUUUCUGAGGUUAGAUUACAAUUUAUGCAUUUAUGCUAAAUUAAUUGAAGUUAAAUUUUCCUCUGUCUUGUACUUCUUGUUCAACUGUAAUUUCUUGUUUACUUUUUAUAUCUGCUUGUUUUCCUUUCUCUGCUGAAACUGUUAUAAUUCAGUUUAUUUUUGUCUUUUUAAUAAUUGCACAUAAACCUGAUGACAUGCACAAAGAGGAAGCAGCACAAUGUGUAAAGAAGGAAAAUAUUUCUUUAGGUUUUGGGAGUAUUUGCCUUACUUUCUCAAAGUUGAAAUCUGUCAUUGCUUAAAAGGUGAGAUUGGGAGUGCAACCGCUCAAUUUAGGUUGCACUAAAUUGUUCUUCACAGACUAUUUUGA